UACGUAGGGGGCAAGCGUUGUCCGGAAUCAUUGGGCGUAAAGAGCGUGUAGGCGGCCAGAAAAGUCCGCUGUGAAAACUCGAGGCUCAACUUCGAGCUGUCGGUGGAAACUUUCUGGCUAGAGUCCGGAAGAGGAGAAUGGAAUUCCUGGUGUAGCGGUGAAAUGCGUAGAUAUCGUAAGGAAGGCCGGUGGCGAAAGCGAGCCUCUGGACAGUUACUGACGCUGAUGCACGAAGGCCAGGGGAGCAAACGGG
rnacentral:rRNA from 1 species